rfam:Shewanella denitrificans OS217, complete genome.
AUGCAUAUUACAAUUUACAGGUUCUAUAAUAAGAAGACCUCGUGAUUACGGGGUUUUUUGUUAUAUGGACUUUUAAAAACCGUGUUUUUUGCGGUAAGUUCGGGGGCUAUUAGCCCUUUUUUC